UUAAUUUUGUAAUGGUAAUUACUGUGUAAAGUAAAAAGAGCAAAAAGACUUUCAGUCCAUCAGGGUAAAACAUGCCAUCUGAAGCAUGUGUUGACUCUAUUUAUAGAUUGCGUGAGGGUCUCCAUCUUAUGUGCCCUACACAGAAAGCAGCUAUGAGAAUUUAAACAGGCUUUGAAUAUUCUUUAAUGUCGACUUAUCUUCAUAAAUAGAAAAGAGCUGAGCAGAUGUCCAUAAAGGUUCUACUGGGAGAAGAUAAUGGACAGGUGAGAAUCUCAAGCUGUCAGAUCUUUUCUACUGUUCUUCACUCGUGCAGGCACAGUAUCCGUUGUGUCAAAUGAUGCUGAGCGGCAGAGAAAAUGAAUGCGCUGCGUGGAAGAGUCGCUUCACCGGCUCCUGGGGUCAUUGUGAUGGCCAUUCAGUGAAUCCAAGCAGGCAAGACACACUGCAGAAGACAGAGCAUGUUACUGAAGAUUGUAAGGUACUCCAAAAGAAGGAUGCCCUUGAGCCCUGGAAUGAUGUGCACCAACUGUUCAAACAGCAAGGCAAACCCAAGAAAGUAAGCACAAUGCUUUUUCAUCUCCUAGAAUAUACAAUCAACAAACACUUUCAAAACCUCUUCCACUGUGGACAGCACUGAAGUCUUGAUCCACUAUGGAGUCUGUCUGUAGACAUCAUAAAGAGUAUCUGAAGAUACAAGUUUAUUGUGGUCUGCAAAUUGAUCUGGAACAAUAACGUUCAUAUUUGUUUAAGCUCCACUUUCUUCAGCCUCCAAAUGCUUGCCAUAUGUCUCUCUAAAGUUACAUUGCUACUUUGAAUUAUGUUGAUAUUUUUUUCUAGAAAAAAUUAUGUGACUGAAACAAUGAAAAUGGUUUCAUUAAAUAUGAUUGGUCUUGUUAACCAUGUCUUUAUUAAACAUUGCUUUUUUUGCAUGGUUUAUUUUUAAUGCUGUGUGUGUAUCAAUAUAUGUACGUGUGUGCAAGUGCCCCGGAGUACAGAAAAGAAUGCCAGACUCCUGGAGCUAGAAUAAGAUAGAAUGUAUGUGGUUCUAAGCCCUAUGUCAUGGGUGCUGAGAGCUGAGCCUGAGUUCUUUGGAAGAGCAUCCCAUUAUCACACUUAACUGCUGAGCCAUCUCUCUGGCCUCCAUACUGUUUCUUAUUAAUCUUGUUUUAUUACUAAGUAAUUUCCCCCAAAUAAAAUAUAAAUAUGUCUA